rnacentral:rRNA from 1 species
CGGGGGAUAUUGCACAAUGGGCGAAAGCCUGAUGCAGCGACGCCGCGUGGGGGAUGAAGGCCUUCGGGUUGUAAACUUCUUCUGCUCUGAACAAGGCAUGCCUUUGGGGUGUGUUGAGUGUAGGGGUUGAUUAGCGCCGGCUAACUACGUGCCAGCAGCCGCGGUAAUACGUAGGGCGCGAGCGUUGUCCGGAAUUAUUGGGCGUAAAGGGCUUGUAGGUGGCUGGUUGCGUCUGUCGUGAAAGCUCAUGGCUUAACUGUGGGUUUGCGGUGGGUGCGGGCUGGCUUGGGUGCAGUAGGGGAGGCUGGAAUUCCUGGUGUAGCGGUGGAAUGCGCAAAUAUCAGGAGGAAUACCGGUGGCGAAGGCGGGUCUCUGGGCUGUUACUGACGCUGAGGGGCGAAAGCGUGGGGAGCGAACAGG